rnacentral:lncRNA from 1 species
UUCUUUGUGUAUAGAUUUAUGUGGGUAUAUAGAAGUGACUGCAUCUUGCUCUUUUCAGUUGUUGCUCAUUUUCUAGAGGUAUUCAGAUAUCUCCCAUCGUAAGAGAUUUUUAUAUUAACCUUUUUAAAAAUUAGAAUCCCCAGAGUGGUUUUUUUUUUUUGAUGUAUUGGUAAGUUACUCUUUAGGUCCUUUCAUUCAGGCAUGUUCUAUCCGGUUUCUCAUUUCCUAUCCAC